GUAAGCAAGGAAGAAUGAGAAAGUAAUGGCGGUGCAAGAAAGAAGAAAGAAAGAGCCGUCACAAGAAAGAAAGAAAGAAUCGGUGUCGAUGCAGAAAGAAAGCCGACAACCGUAAGCAAGAAUGGAGAACGGCUGAUUGAAAUCAGCGAAGAAAGAAAGAAAGACCGAAAUUGUGAACAAAGACCGAAAGAGUUCACAAUAGACCGAGUCGUGAACGAGAGACCGAAAGCGUUCACGUAAGAAAGAGAAAGGCCGGGCCCGCGUGGUUCGUGAAGCAAGAGCAAGAAUCGAGUCAUAUUGGCAAUAGCGAGUUGAUCGCAACCAGCGUCGCCCUUAAUCCAUUAUGUUCAUUCGAUUACUAGAGGUCGUUGAUUAUUUGUGGAUGCCUUGAUCCUUAGUGUUUGCUUGCUUGCUAAAUUAAGGUAACUUGGGAAAACGUGGGGAAUAAGUGAAGAGUGUUCUUAAGAUAAAGAUUUUUUUUUUAUUUCGGUAAUGUAAUGAAAAUGUAAUUAGGAUCUUUUGUUUUCAACGUUAUGGAUUGGUUUUAGUUUUGAUAUCUGUAUGAGUGACAAGUCAGCCUGUUCAGGUUGGGGUGUUACAUGUAUGAUGCUCAAAAGUGAGGGGGUAUGAUGGUGGAGGUGAGGCCGAGAGUUAGAGGAGGAGAAGGGAAGAAGAUGAAGUUGAAAAUAAGAAAUGGUGGAUAUGU
rnacentral:lncRNA from 1 species